UGGGGAAUAUUGCACAAUGGGCGCAAGCCUGAUGCAGCCAUGCCGCGUGUAUGAAGAAGGCCUUCGGGUUGUAAAGUACUUUCAGUCGGGAGGAAGGUGGUAAGGUUAAUAACCUUAUCAAUUGACGUUACCGACAGAAGAAGCACCGGCUAACUCCGUGCCAGCAGCCGCGGUAAUACGGAGGGUGCAAGCGUUAAUCGGAAUUACUGGGCGUAAAGCGCACGCAGGCGGUUGAUUGAGUCAGAUGUGAAAUCCCCGGGCUUAACCCGGGAAUUGCAUCUGAUACUGGUCAGCUAGAGUCUUGUAGAGAGGGGUAGAAUUCCAUGUGUAGCGGUGAAAUGCGUAGAGAUGUGGAGGAAUACCGGUGGCGAAGGCAGCCCCCUGGACAAAGACUGACGCUCAGGUGCGAAAGCGUGGGGAGCAAACAGG
rnacentral:rRNA from 1 species